rnacentral:lncRNA from 10 species
GUUGAGCGGCGCGACGGUCCUGCAGCAGCUAGCCUGGGAUGUACCCACAGCUCACCGGGGAGUCCGGGCCACACGUCAGCUGGAUCUUGAAUGAGAUGAAGACGGGGAGAAAGGGCCUUCCGGACAAAGGGCUUACGCCCUGGAUAAAGGGCGUGGAGGGGCGUGGCACGUUCAGUCUGGACACAGCAUAAAGUGCAUUGGAGAGAGGCGGGAGACAGGAUGGAAAGGAGGGUGGGAAGAGCUAUGAAGCUCCCCAGGGCCUUGCUAACGCGUUUGGACUUUAUCCCGCGCCAGACUUUUUAAAGGUGGUAAGUAGUUUACAGAUGUGCGUUUUGAGGCCAGCACAUUUUGUUGUUGUCGUUUGUUUGUUUGUUUUUCUUUGAGACGGGGUCUCACUCCCAGGCUGGAGUGCAAUAACGUGAUCUCAGCUCACUGCAACCUCCGCCUCCCAGGUUCAAGCGAUUCCCCUGCCUCAACCUGUCGAAUAGCUGGGGCUACAGGCGCCCACCACCACGCCUGGCUAAUUUUUGUAUUUUUAGUGGAGACGGGGUUUCACCACGUUGGCCAGGCUGGUCUCGAACUCCUGACUUCAGGUGAUCCUCCCGCCAAGGCCUCCCAAAAUCCUGGGAUUACGGCCAUCGUGCCGGGCCAGCAGCACAGCGUCUUAAGCAAUUUUGGAUAUGAAUACCUUCGAGACGAGCUUGCGCUCCCACAGACCCCACCACUCCUACAGUCUGUAAUUACCCCCAGCUGCACCCAUAUGCGUAGCUUCCCUGGUCCAGAGGGACGUGCGUGUGUGACCCUGCAGGAUACAAAACAUAAUAAGUUCAAAAUUCCAAUGGUAAAAAGAAUACACAGUGGAGUUUCCCACUCUGGGACACCCAGUUCCCUUCCCCAUCGAGGCUGCAGUGAGCCAUGAUCAUGCCACUGUACUCCAGCCUGGAUGACAGAGCAAGACCCAGUCUCAAAAAAACAAAAACAAUAAUGACAUCAGGCUGUACAUACAUAAUUUAGAAAAGAAUGUUUUGUAACCUGCUUUUUUCACUAAAAACACAUCAUAUUUCUAGUUCAUUACCCAUUUUUAGUUGCUGCUUUUGGUUUGGAUAGACAAUAAUUUAUAGGUUUUCAAUUUUAAAUAUUAAAAAGAACACUGUGAUAAACAUUCUUGUGUCUAAAAUCUUUGCAUCUAUCAGUAAUUACUUAAAUAGACUGAAUCUGCCCGCCUUGGCCUCCCAAAGUGCUGGGAUUACAGGCAUGAGCUACUGUGCCCAGCCCUAAGAACUUUAAAAAAAAGUAUUAUAUCUGUCAAUAUUUUUCAUAUUAGAAAACUGAGAAAAUAUUUUUAAAAUACAUAGUCGGCUGGGCGUGGUGGCUCACGCCUGUAAUCCUGGCACUCUGGGAAGCAAAGGCGGGUCAGGAGUUUGAGAUCAGCCUGGCUAACACAGCAAAACCCCAUCUCUCCUAAAAAUGCAAAAAACUUAGCCAGGCGUGGUGGCGGGGGCCUGUAAUCUCAGCUACUUGGGAGGCUGAGGCAGAAUUGCUUGAAACCAGGAGGCAGAGGUUACAGUGAGCCGAGAUGGCGCCAUUGUACUCCAGCCUGGGUGGCAGA